rnacentral:piRNA from 1 species
CGAGGGGCGGGGCUGCAGAGGAA